AAAAGCCAACAAAACCACUGCAACCGAAAUAUUACACACUUCUUUGUUCAGAACACGAUUUGCAUAGUAACCAUUUUUAAGACAUCAGAACAACUCUGCAAGGUUGCAGUGCACUCAGGAGUCAGGAAGAAGUGCGCCAUUUGAAAGGAGACGGCAGCAAGCAGGUUCACUUCUCUGUUGUGUGGGAGAUAGGUCUAACCACUAUUGGGGGCUGUGAAGAGGAAGCAACAGGUUUGCGAGUUGUUUGAUGCAGGAAUUGGAAUAUAAGCUACCUGAAACUCCUACCUGGAGCAGUCAGGCAUCUUCAGGCUCAAACAUUUCUCCAUUACAUUGAAUUCUCCCCUGACAGCUUUAUGAUUGCUGUGGACCACACCACUGGGAAAGAUGUUGUCACAAAUUGUGGGGAUGCCCUUCUAAUGAUGUUUGUGACCUACUCCUGCCUCAACAUAAGCUAUCCAGUGGAACAUGGUGCAACUCUGGAGAUCAUGCAGAGGUGCCUUUUCAAGAUAAAUCUGGACAGGGGGACCAAGGUGGACAAGAAAAAAUCUAAAAAGACAGCAGUUUGUUAAUCUCAAGGUUCUUUCAAUGAUUACAAAUAUUGCAAACUUUGAAUGAAGAGAGUAGAAUAGAAAGCUUCUUGCAUUGCCAACAUCUUCUCUUUCAUACACAGUUUAAGUAUGUUCCAAUUUCUUUGUAUACCAUGUUGUAAUGUUUAAACCGUUCAUUCUGCUGGCAUUAUUUCUUGGGAGGGUAAGUGGGGGGUGGAUAAGUGAGUGAGCAGUAUCCUGGUUGGUGUUGUAAUGUUUCAUUUUUGUUUUGUAAUGCAUGUUGUGUAGUAAUGGCUCUAAAAAGCUGUAAUUCCCACAGUAAAAACUGUAUAUGGAAAAAUUGGAAGAGGUGGAAAGUAACGAAUUACAUUUACUCGCGUUACUGUAAUUGAGUAGCUUUUUUUUCCUACUUUUUAAAGUAAUUUUUAAAAUCUGUAAUUUUACUUUUACUUAAGUAUAUUUUGUUUGAAGUAUUGUACUUCACUACAUUUUAAAACACAUUAAUUACUGAGUAAAAAAAUAAAAAUAAAAUAAAUAAAU
ensembl:lncRNA